CAAACGACUCUCGGCAACGGAUAUCUCGGCUCUCGCAUCGAUGAAGAACGUAGCAAAAUGCGAUACCUGGUGUGAAUUGCAAAAUCCCGCGAACCAUCGAGUCUUUGAACGCAAGUUGCGCCCGAGGCCUUCGGGCCGAGGGCACGCCUGCCUGGGCGUCACGC
rnacentral:rRNA from 1 species